rnacentral:lncRNA from 10 species
GGAAAGUCACUUCUCUGGGCCUCAUUUUUCAUUCUGAAUUAGAGGUUAAAAUCCAAAUAUUGCCAUCUUCCAGCUAAUUACACAUUCCAGUGACUUUCCAUUAUAUGUAAAAUCAGACGCUUGUGCUGCAUAUCAGGUGGUGUGCAGCAUCCACAAAAACUCAGAGCACUGUGGGGCUAAUGACUCACUUUUGACCAACAGAAUUCAACAAAGACAAUGGGAUAUCACUUAUAUUUCACCUCAGGCUGGAGAUCAGCGUCUGGCAUAAUUGGGCUUUGGCAAGGGCUCUCAGGUUGUAGGCCGGAGGCUUAAGGUUGUACACUUACCUGGCAAAGAGAGAGCUUUUUAAGAACUAUUUCAUAAAGCCAGUAAAUCCAAUUAUGAGGGCUUCAGCCUUAGAAUAUAAUUGCUUUCCAUUUCCUCAGCUUUAAGAUGUCAAAAUAUGAAUUAGACAAUUAUGUCAUGACUAAGCCUGAGCAUAUUUUGUGUAUGUAAAGCUAUUAAUAUUUUUUGUGAACUACAACAUAUCUUUUGCCAAUUUUUCUAUUUUGUGGAUUAUCUUUUUCUAGUCAAUAAUCUUGUGAUUAUUAUUUAAUCCAGGGUCCCGUUAUCCUCUAGGCAACUGCUCUCUCCUGGGAGGGUGUGCCUGGUCAGGUUUGCCUCACCUUUUGUAGCUACCCUAUCCUGUAUGCCGUUUGGCUGUGGUUUUCUUCUUCAAUCCAAUCCUAUCUACAUUUCAUGUUUUAAUGAUUUUUCCUGACUUCUAGUUUAGUGAGGAUACAUCUUAAUUUUCAGAGUGAGUUAUUCUUUCUAAGAAUUUGUGGUAAAGAAAGGUUGCCACAGAUGACCUGUCAGCCAUCUUAAAUCAAAAGAUCAGAAGUUAUCUGACGUAUAUUGCAUUAUUUAGUCUGAUACUUCUGAAAUGGUAAAUGCUUCUCUUUGGCAAGAGAGAACACAGGAAUAUUGGAGGAUUUGCCUCAUUAAUGUAUACUCAUCUUGGCAUAAUUGUGCUAGACUGAUUAUUAAGCUAAAGAGGGUAAACAAAAAAGGGAGCCCAAACAGGUAAAAAGUCUACCUUCAAAUCACUGACAGUAUUAUCUAAUGGAAUUUUACUAAAGGCCCCAUCCUGGCUUUUGAGCUGCAUUAAUCUAUUGUGUCUGGAUACUAUUUACAUAUUCAUAUGAGUCAUUUUUUAAGUUGUGAAACUUCUAUAGUCAGCGUUCACUAAUGAGUCCUCUGGGAACUAAACUGUUUUUUAACAAGCUUAACUGAGGUAACUGGAAUCAAACAGGCCAUAAAUUACACAGGGUAGCCUUGACUUGUGGCUUAGGGGAAGUAUUUUUCUAAGUUUCUUAUGCUCAGUGACAGAUAUGUGCCCUUGCAGCUUCUCCUUGAGUAGGCCUUGCUGCAGUUCGACAGGGGAUAUCCUGCUCAUGAACUGUGGGGUUGAAAAGCAUCCCUUGCUCACUGUAAAGGGUCCACGCUCUCUCCUUUUUCUUUUCUUUUCUUUCUUGCUUUUUUUUUUUUUUUUUUUUGAGGUAGAGUUUUGCUGUUUUUGCCCAGGCUGGAGUGCAAUGGCAGGAUCUUGGCUCACUCCAACCUCCGCCUCCCGGGUUCAAGCAAAUCUCCUCCCUCAGCAUCCCAAGUAGCUGGGAUUACGGGCAUGCGCCACCACAGCCGGCUAAUUUUUUGUAUUUUUAGUAGAGAUGGGGUUUCACCAUAUUGGUCAGCUGGU